rnacentral:rRNA from 1 species
AGCACUAAAGCAUCGGAUCCCAUCGGAACUCCAAAGUUAAGCGUGCUUGGGCGAGAGUAGUACUAAGAUCCUCAUGUUGCAUUCC